rfam:Ovis aries breed Texel unplaced genomic scaffold TnplacedScaffold_004081856.1, whole genome shotgun sequence.
UCCCUGGUGGCUCAGAAGGUAAAGCGUCUGCCUGGAAUGCGGGAGACCCGGGUUCGAUCCCCGUGUCAGGGAA